rnacentral:tRNA from 2 species
ACGAGUAUAGUUAAGUGGUUAUAAUUCCUACCUUCCAAGUAGGAGUCAUCAGUUCGACUCUGAUUACUCGUA